AGGAAAAGAAACUAACAAGGAUUCCCCUAGUAACGGCGAGUGAACCGGGAAGAGCUCAAAUUUGAAAUCUGGCGUCCUCAGGGCGUCCGAGUUGUAAUCUAUAGAGGCGUUUUCCGUGCCGGACCGUGUCCAAGUUCCUUGGAACAGGAUAUCAAAGAGGGUGACAAUCCCGUACUUGACACGACGACCGGUGCUCUGUGAUACGUCUUCUACGAGUCGAGUUGUUUGGGAAUGCAGCUCAAAAUGGGUGGUGAGUUCCAUCUAAAGCUAAAUAUUGGCGAGAGACCGAUAGCGAACAAGUACCGUGAGGGAAAGAUGAAAAGCACUUUGGAAAGAGAGUUAAACAGUACGUGAAAUUGUUGAAAGGGAAACGAUUGAAGUCAGUCGUGACCGAGAGGCUCAGCCGGUUCUGCCGGUGUAUUCCCCUCGGUCGGGUCAACAUCAGUUUUGUCCGGUGGAUAAGGGCGGUAGGAAGGUGGCACCCUCGGGUGUGUUAUAGCCUGCCGUCGCAUACAUCGGGUGAGACUGAGGAACGCAGCUCGCCUUUAUGGCCGGGGUUCGCCCACGUCCGAGCUUAGGAUGUUGACAUAAUGGCUUUAAACGACCCGUC
rnacentral:rRNA from 1 species